GAUGAACGCUGACAGAAUGCUUAACACAUGCAAGUCUACUUGAUUCUACUUCGGUAGUUGAUGGUGGCGGACGGGUGAGUAACGCGUAAAGAAUCUGCCCUUUAGUUUGGGAUAACCUUUGGAAACGAAGGCUAAUACCGGAUAUUAUGGAGACGUCGCAUGGCGACUCCAUGAAAGCUAUAUGCGCUAGAGGAGGACUUUGCGUCCCAUUAGUUAGUUGGUGAGGUAAUGGCUCACCAAGACCGCGAUGGGUAGCCGGCCUGAGAGGGUGAUCGGCCCCAAGGGAACUCAGACACGGUCCUUACUCCUACGGGAGGCAGCAGUGGGGAAUAUUGGACAAUGGGCCACAAGCCUGAUCCAGCAAUUCUGUGUGCACGAUGAAGGUCUUCGGAUUGUAAAGUGCUUUCAGUAGGGAAGAAAAAAAUGACGGUACCUACAGAAGAAGCGACGGCUAAAUAUGUGCCAGCAGCCGCGGUAACAC
rnacentral:rRNA from 1 species